CUACGGGCCGCUGCAGUGGGGAAUAUUGCACAAUGGGCGCAAGCCUGAUGCAGCCAUGCCGCGUGUAUGAAGAAGGCCUUCGGGUUGUAAAGUACUUUCAGCGGGGAGGAAGGGAGUAAAGUUAAUACCUUUGCUCAUUGACGUUACCCGCAGAAGAAGCACCGGCUAACUCCGUGCCAGCAGCCGCGGUAAUACGGAGGGUGCAAGCGUUAAUCGGAAUUACUGGGCGUAAAGCGCACGCAGGCGGUUUGUUAAGUCAGAUGUGAAAUCCCCGGGCUCAACCUGGGAACUGCAUCUGAUACUGGCAAGCUUGAGUCUCGUAGAGGGGGGUAGAAUUCCAGGUGUAGCGGUGAAAUGCGUAGAGAUCUGGAGGAAUACCGGUGGCGAAGGCGGCCCCCUGGACGAAGACUGACGCUCAGGUGCGAAAGCGUGGGAAGCAAACAGGAUUAGAUACCCUUGUAGUC
rnacentral:rRNA from 1 species